GCACUGCUGAGGAGUCCCAUACUAGGACGAAAUGGUCGUCCAGUAC
rnacentral:hammerhead_ribozyme from 3 species